rnacentral:rRNA from 1 species
UACGUAGGGGGCAAGCGUUGUCCGGAAUCAUUGGGCGUAAAGCGCGUGUAGGCGGCUGAGCAAGUCUGUUCUGAAAGCCCGAGGCCUCAACCUCGGGAGGCGAAUGGAUACUGCUCAGCUCGAGUCCGGAAGAGGAGUGUGGAAUUCCUGGUGUAGCGGUGAAAUGCGCAGAUAUCAGGAGGAACACCAAUGCGAAGGCAGCACUCUGGGACGUGACUGACGCUGAGACGCGAAAGCGUGGGGAGCAAACAGG